rnacentral:sRNA from 1 species
AUCCCCAAAAUAUAUUUUUUUAUGUUUUAAAUUUUUACCCAUAUAGUGUACUAUGCCAGUAUUUUUGUGUCCUGCUUUUUUUUGCUCUAUUUUUGUGACCUUUUCAUAUGGAUAUAUAAAAUGCCAUUUUGAGGCUAUACCACAAUAUAUAUAUUCCCAAAGAAUGAAUAUUUAGGUAAUUGUCAGUUUGGGAUUUUUUGUUUGUUUGUUUGUUUGUUUGUUUUUAGUUCUUGUUCUAAAAUAUCCUUACACAUUUCUCCUUUUGCACAUGAGUUUCUGUUGUGCAUAUGCCUAGAAUUGCUGGGUCAUAGGGUGGGCACAUCUUCAGUUUUGCUAGAGAAUACCAAACUUCUCUUCAGAAUAGUUACAUUGGUGUGUCAGGUGGAACUAGAAUCUGCUCUGAGUACGUCACAAGAUUUAGUGAGGAUCCAAGCAGAACAAGAGUGUGAGAACACGUGUGAAGUUGUUGACAGUGCUGUGUCAUGAAUCAUGAAGGGGCAAUUUUAAGUCAGUGUAUGGACAACAAUGGUCAUAGGUAGACACUGGAUAAAUGACCAACUUGUCCUAUGAAUGAGGUCUUAAUUUUAUCUACCUUAGGACCAUGUCCAGAGAAUCAGCAAAAAUGAUUACAUUUAAUUAUAUCUUCAUGUUUUGUGAGGGCUUUAGAUCUGAUAUAAACAUACAGGAAAAAAUCCUUUUUAAUAAAGCUGGAAGAGACAUAAUAGCAUCAGUUUCUAGGCAGAAAAUCAGCCCUAUACAAAUUCUAAAGGCUGGUUACAAACUGGACAUGUUUUAACAUGGUUUAGAAUGUUUUCACCGAAAAACUAGCACUGUGCCUUUGUCUCUGAGAAAAAUAGAUAAAUGAGUCAAUUAUGUGUUUACAGUUUAAUUCAUAUUCAGUUAUAUUUUGCAGCUUAAAAGCCACUAACAAAAAAAUAGAACAUAACAAAAUAAAUCUCACUUGGAAUACUGGUUGUUUUGUUUGCUGGUUGGUUCUUUUAGUGUACUUUCCUUUUUACUGUGUUUUUGUUUCUGGGUUAAGAUGGUGGCAAACUGGUGAUGCUUCAUCCACUUUUACUCUCUCACUGAAUAAUCCAUGGUGGACUGGAGAAUCUCAAUGAUUGGUUCACCAUACUCUGGCAGAAAUUCCUACUGACUGCCAUAUAGGUAGGGCUUGACUAAGAAACUCUUGGUAACCAAUGCAGACUCAGACCUCUUGAAAAAAAACCAGCAGGGCCAAGCUGGAUAAAAGCCAAAAUUACUAUGUUUGCCAGAUUACACUAUCAGGUUUCGUAGAACAGCUAGGACUCUCAUAUACCUAAAGAUAGUGAAAAGAUGUAUAGAGAUUGCUGAGGUUGGAGAUAUAUGCUGAGUUUAAUCUAACACUGUAAUCUACAAUGGCCUUUCAAUGAAGAUUUAAGGUAUUUGGAAUCUGUUCUGCAGACAGAAGGGAAAGUACUGAUGAUUUUGAGCAGUGACAAUAGGAUCAGAUGCAUGCUUUAAAAGGUCCAGAAGUAUAAAGGGUAUAUGUAUAUUAGGGCUGGAGUGGCUGGAGGCUGGGAGACAAACUUAUUGUAAGACUCCACAUAAAAUCAUACUUACCUCACUGAGUCCUGUCCUCAGGUAAAUACUGUUAAUUAAAAGGGUUUCACCAUUUACAGAGCUUUUAGAUUAUUUAUCCUUAAUAUUAUUAUCCCCACAUGUGCUCAUGAGCAAGCCUCUCAGGAUCUUCUGCUCCAGUCUUGUGACGGUAGCAUGUUCCUGCUUCUGGUGGUGCUAAACCCUGGGCAAUCAUCUCUUCUAGGAACAGCUGUUCUUCAUGGGUGACUGCUGUGAAACCAACAGGAUGAUCUCUUUUCUAUUUAAUCCUAAGAGUGGGCAUAAGACAGCUCACCUUCCAACCACUGGAAGUGUUUAUAGCAUCUCCACGUCUGUCCACAAGGUGGAGUUCAAGGCCAAAUUUUUCACCAGCCCCAGAUACUGGAAGGAGUAUUUUUAAUUCAUUCAUAGUCAAGGUAAGGCCUGCCUCCUAGGUCUUCAUUUCCUGUUCAUACAUUGAAUCUGACAGUGGCAACAUAUUCCCUUUGGAGGAAAUUCUGUCUAGGCCUAAAGCAGUGUGGUCUAGCUUUAUGGUUUGAUUAAAGACAAUCACACCAUGUCCAAUAUAUUUCCUACAUCACAUGUAGGCCAUAAACAGUCUGAUCAAGGUUUGGCUAUGUCAAGUCCAACACAGCUCCUGGGCAUCAAAUGAUCAUAAACUCUGGAGGUUCACUCUCACUCAUGGCACCUGUCUUAGCCUGUUUUCUGUUGCUUAUAACAAAAUACCUGAAAAUUUAUAAAAAAAAUAAAAUUUAUUUCUUACAGUUCUGGAGGCUGGGAAGUUCAAGAUUGAGGGGCCACAUCUGGUGAGGGCCUUCUUGAUGGUAGAAACUCUCUGCAGUCCUGAGGUAGCGCAGGGUAUCACAUGGCAAGGGGACUAAGUAUGCUAACAUGGUAGCUUAGGUCUCUCUUUCUCUUCUUAUAAAGCCACCAGUUCUACUUCCAUGAUAAUCUGUCAGUGGAUUAAUCCAUUCACAAGGGCAGAACCCUCAUGUUCCAAUCACCUGUUAAAGGCCAUACCUCUGAAUACUGCCACAUUGGAGAUAAAGUUUCAACAUAAGUUUUGGAGGGAAUAUUCAAACCAUAGCAGUUCCUUUCUGUGGAUUUUUAUGCAUGCAUGUACACAUGUGUGUAGAGACACAGAAAGGCCCAGAGAGGCAGAAAACGCAUAUAUACACCUGUACAUUAAAUCCAUCUAUGUGCACAUAUACGAAGUUGUAGAAAUAGG